rnacentral:rRNA from 1 species
AUUGAACGCUGGCGGCAGGCCUAACACAUGCAAGUCGAGCGGAUGAAGGGAGCUUGCUCCUGGAUUCAGCGGCGGACGGGUGAGUAAUGCCUAGGAAUCUGCCUGGUAGUGGGGGAUAACGUCCGGAAACGGGCGCUAAUACCGCAUACGUCCUGAGGGAGAAAGUGGGGGAUCUUCGGACCUCACGCUAUCAGAUGAGCCUAGGUCGGAUUAGCUAGUUGGUGGGGUAAAGGCCUACCAAGGCGACGAUCCGUAACUGGUCUGAGAGGAUGAUCAGUCACACUGGAACUGAGACACGGUCCAGACUCCUACGGGAGGCAGCAGUGGGGAAUAUUGGACAGUGGGCGGAAGCCUGAUCCAGCCAUGCCGCGUGUGUGAAGAAGGUCUUCGGAUUGUAAAGCACUUUAAGUUGGGAGGAAGGGCAGUAAGUUAAUACCUUGCUGUUUUGACGUUACCAACAGAAUAAGCACCGGCUAACUUCGU